AAAACUCCUUUAGAAACAUAAAAAAAAAUAAAAGAAAAAAAAGGAGCUCAUCUGUAUUGUCAUCCUCCCUUAAGAUUGAGUAAAUUUUAGGGACCAUCUUCAAGCAACCAGCGAAAUCACAGUCUAAUCUGGCAGAUCUGUCCACCACCGGUCUCUCUCCACCGUAUUAGCAAUAAACAUAGGUACUUCUUUUAACAAAUAAGUCAUUUCUCCUCUCCUUAUUCCUUCUGUAGCUAAGAGAUGUACUACUUCGUUCCCACAUCUCGAUGCAUGUCUGAAAAUACAUCUUCGAUAAUUCUCACUAAGUGAUCUCGAAUCCAUAGUAUAUGCACUAAUUUCAUAUCCAUCUUGCCUAUCUGCAUGAAGCAUUUUCACCAUUGUAAGCGCAUUAACUUUAAUCUCCAUAUUUUGAAAACCCAAAUCAAGGCCGAUCUGAACCUCCUGGAAGCAUGCAAAAGCCUCCGCAGCAAAAGCCAAAGGUAUGUGAUUAUCUAUUAUCAUACUGGAUCCUAACACCAAACCGAUCGAGUUUCUAACCACAAUCCUGGUACAUGACCUCUUUGUAUGGUUUUAAAAAGCAACAUCAUAAUUAAUCUUCAUAAAAGGGAUCUCCACGGCUUUCAUUGUUCAGUUUCCACCUUCUUAACAGGUAAUUUAUGGUUGGUUACAUCUAAUUCUCGAAUAUAUGAAAUGAUUAAAUUGGUUGUGUUCUAAACUGUCUGUCUGUUCUCUUCAUGAACUACUUUACUCCUUGUUAUCCAUAUUCCCAAAUUGCACAAGCCAUAAUCCUACAAUGGUCAUUUGAAUGAUUCGAAAAAAUAUAUGCCAACCACUCCUAAUAUUCUGAGUUUAAGACUUCAUAAGGCCAUUGAAUAUUUAACUCAUGCCAUAUAUCCUUUGCAGUGGAGCAAUCUCGAAAAAUAUGUUCUAAGUUUCAACUCUAUUGGAGCAUUUGGGACAAGUUACUGAACCAACCGUCUUCUGUAAUGUAAAUUGUUAAAAGUAGGAUGGAAAACUUGUCAAUUUGUGAUCUUCACCUUAGCUGGUAGAUCGAGUUGCCAUAACUUGUAAAAGAAUUUUCUAUCUGCUUCUCACUAUAUACUUACCCGAAGCUUCACCUCGCCAUACAAGUUUAUCAUCAUUUAGAACUCAAGCAAGGGGAAUGCAUAGGAUUCUUUCUGCUUCACCAUCACUAAAGGUACUUGACUGCUAUCAUGCAUGUGCGUUAAAACAAAUAAAUUUAUAAAAACUAUUUUUGAAAAACAGUUUUAACUGCAAACGUAUAGUGUCAGUUGUAAUAUUUAUAAUUCUGAUGGAACAUAGAGUAUUCCAAGGGGUCGAACUCAAGGGAGGAGGCAUUGAGCAACUCCUAGCUAAGAGCAGACAAAGAAGGAGUUUAAAAAAUUAAUCGCUAAAAGCUAUAUUACGAAAAAUUGUAAAAUAAAGAGUGAUUAAACUAAUUAUCUAUUAGCUACCUAAAGAAUUAAAUCGUAAAGGAUGCAAAGUUAUGAAAUUCACAAAUAACUAAAAAACGGUGGUUGGUUGAAUUUGAUGUGGUUCACUAAUCAUUCAAUUAAGACUCUAAAUUGCUUAAACUCCUAAAGUGGUUCCAUUUUACCUCUUGCUGUCAACUUUACCAAGUUAGGCAAAUUAGUCCGAUUUAUCUUUCGAUCUCGCUAGCUAACCCGGGACUAAAGAAUUGGUGCUCAACAAGAUUACCUCUCGAUCUCACUUGCCUGAAUAUUCCUUUAGGGUCAUCAAUCCUAAGUUUUUAUGUUCAUUCAAUUUGGUCUAUUUUUUGCAAUUUAGUCCUUUAACCAAAAAUUAGCUUAUUCGUAUCUCCAUCAACCAACCCCUUUGGAAGUUUAGUUACUCAUGUUAAAAGCUAAACUAACAAAGAUAAAAAUAACAACCAUGGAAGCCAUUGAAGAAAAUUUUAAGAAAAAUAAUAAAGUUGGGAUUUUUAAUGAGGAAAACUUAAAAGAAAAGAAAAGAUGAACAUCUAACAGUAAAGUAAGAAGCAAGGAACAUGAAAGGUAAAGGCUUUAACAAUUGAAACUAAAGGAAACUGAAAAUAUAUUAAACAAAUAUGAAAAUGUCAAUACAAGUAAAAAAUGGUCUAAAAGUGCAAUUUAACCCUAGUUACAGUAAUAACUAACUUUACUAACAAUAAGAACACCAAGAACGACAUCAAAUUGCAAGAGAAAUAAACACUAUACGAAGGAAGAAGAUGAUAAGAAGAAACCCUAGAAAAUGGGAAAGAAAACUUAAGAGAAAACUAAAGGAAAACUAAGCAAAAAGAUUAAACUAGUGUAGCAUUCUCUCUUCUCAGGCAAUUGUGAUUGAUUUAGCAACAUAUUCUAAUCCCUUUUUUUGACCAAAAUAUCCUUGAAUGGGCCUCCCUUGAUUGGUGCUUCGAUUGGACAAACAUUACCCCUAGCGUCAUUUUUUGUCCCCUCACGACAGUGAUAUUGUGAUACAUAGGGUUGGAUAUCGCAAUAUCGUCGUCAAUCUUGAAAUAAGGUAUUUCCUUGUCACAUGGAUAUCACGAUACCCAAGGAGGAUAUCACGAUACCAUUGUAGCCUGCCUUAAUCCUGGGAUUGAUGGGGUAUCGCGAUUCUACUAUUUCGAUGUCGUAAGACUCCUUCUUUGGUAAUGUUUUGUACAAAUUCGAGCCUCCGACAAGUACCUACAACACUAAAUCGAAGGUUAGGCCCCCUAAUGACAAAAUUGGCCAAUUUAGAUCUCAAAAAUGAGAAAAAUGAGGUAUUUACACUUAUUCAAAUGAAAACCUAAAAAAUAUGGAAAAUUCUUGCCAUUACUCAAAAACAAGCUACUUAAGUAUAACGAGAAAGCCUAAUUUGACUUAUCAAAUUAUAACAGAUUAAUGCUAUUAAUCAAAUUCUCUUUACAAAGUCUUGUGUUUGGAUGAAUCAGAUCCGUGACCAUAUAUAUAUUUGAGUUGCUAACAUUGCUCUAGAUCAUAUAGUCUGUGGAACUUGGAAUCCAAGCAUCAGCCCAAACUGAGAUUUUGGUCCUUGUUCCCACCCGCUAGCACAUACCUGUUUGGAGGAGCCCUCUUACGGCCCAAAUGCUUUUCCAGGUUUAUGAUGGGUGAGUUCCUAACCUGACAUUUAAAAAUUUUGAUUCCAAAUAAUAUUUAGCUUUCAACGUGCGUGUCAAUAAAGAAUUUGGUUGACAAAUCAGUCGCCACCCCUGUUUGGCAAGUAGUGCCAAAUUAUUUUUUUUAAACACCGAAAACCAUACCACUGUUCUCUUUAAGGCAUAAUCUAAUCCACCCACACCAAUGAAUUCCACACUUUCCAUGAUGUUUCUGCCACCAAAACUUGCUAAUAAUAUAUUCCAUAUCCAAACAAAGAGAAUUAGGCAACAUAAAACAUGACAUCCAAUAAUUCGGGAUAUUCUGUAAAAUAGCUUUGAUAAAAACUUCCUUGCCUCCUUGGGAGAGUUCUUUAAUACACCAACUAUUUAUUUGACUGUUUGUAACAGCUAGAUUUUAGGCCUAGUCGAAACAGCGGUUUUGGGAUCACAAAUCCGAUAAGGAAAAAUUUAUUUUUAUUAUAUAUUUAGGGUCUACGGUUUCAUGAAAUGAUUUUGUGAAAAUUUCGUUAAAAAAUUUCGACGUUUGGGCACUCAAUUUAGUUAAAAGGUCUAAAUUGUAAAAAGUGCAAAAGUUGAGUUCUACAUGUUAGAGGUUCUUAAAUGGAAUUAGACUAUUGUUUAAUUUUUUGGGACAAAAAUGGUUAUGAAAUAGGUGAAAUAAAAUAUUUUUAAGUUAGGGGCAUUUUGGUAAUUUAGUAAUUAAAAUGAAUUAAAAACAAAAUUAAAAGCCAAUUUUUGUCCAUCUUCAACUCCAUGGCCGAAUUUCACAAGGGGAAACCAUGGCUAGGGUUUUUCAAGCUUUCAAGCUCGAUUGUAAGUCUGUUCUAGCCCCAUUUUUAAUGAUUUUUACAUUUUUGAGAUCCUCGUAACUCGGUUUAGCUAUUUCUACCAUUAUUUUGAGCUAGGGUUGUUGUUUAAAAAUUUAUCCAUAGAUGAAAUACAUGUUUUUUGAUGUUUUAUGGAAGAAUAUGAAAGUUUGGAGUGUGAUAAACAACUUUUACUAAGUGAUUUUUUAUGAAAUUUCAUAAAAGGACCUAUUUGUAAAAGUUGUAAAAUAUGUGUAGAAAAUGUGAUUUAGUGAAAAUGUGGCUACUAUAAGAGGGAAUAUGAAUCGGCUAGGCUUGGGUAUUGAGAAAAAUGGAUACAUUUUAUUUUAUGAGCCUAGGGGUAAAUUUGUAAAUAUGUGAAACUUUAGGGGCAAAAAUGUAAUUUUUCCAUAAUAUGAUUUUUGGACUGAUUUGAAUAGUAUAAUAAUUUAAUAAGUUGAAUUUGAUAUUAUAGAUCAAUAAAAACAAAGUUCAGACUUAGAACGGGGGAAAAACGAGUAUUGGACGAUUUGGUCUUUUUCGCCAUUUUAGGUCGAGGUAAGUUCGUAUGUUAAUAAAUGUUAUUGAUUUGUGUUAAUUAUGCAAUAUUAUUAUAUAUUUGAUUAAAUUUUAAGAAUUAAAGUAAACAUUCGAAUUGAGUAAAAAAGUAGUAUCGAUCACGAUCGUUGCGUAGUGUAAUAUGAAUUGACGGUAAAAGACCGUGGUUAGACCAUAGCAAUGGGCUAAGUGAAAUAAGACCAUGACAUCUAAGUGAAAUAAGUCCAUGGCAAUGUGCUAAGUAAAAUAAGACCGUGGCAAUGUGCUAAGUGAAAUAAGACCAUGGCAUCUAAGUGAAAUAAGUCCAUGGCAAUGUGCUAAGUGAAAUAAAUCCACGGCAUAUAAGUGAAAUAAGUCCAUGGCAUGGUGCUAAGUGAGAAAUUUCUUAGUUGAACCUUAGGAAUAAAAUAACUUUGGACACAAGUGUGGUACUAUGUGAAGGCUACUUUGUGAAUAAAAUUGCUUUGGACACAAGUGUGGUACUAUGUGAAGCCACUUUGUGAAUAAAAUAGCUUUGGCUACAAGGAUGGUACUAUGUGAAGGCCACCGUGUAUCUAUUAUUAUUCCGAUGUGUUCAACGGGAAAUGACUAGGUGUAAUUGAAUAUGACUAUGUGAUGAAUAAGUGCAGGUACAUGUGUGUAAACUUAUGAGCAAUGUGCUCGAUAUGUGAUCGAACUUUGGUAAGAUUGAUAUGGAAUAAAUGUUAUAGUGAAAGUUACUACAAAGAAAACAUGAAAGAGUGAAAUUUAGUAAUAAAACAGUUUUGGACAACAGCAGUUAUAUGAAUUUCAAAAAUCACCAAAAAUGAUGAAAAUAGAAUUAUAGGUUGAAUAAGAUAUAAAACUAAAGCUUAUUGAGUAUAUUUUCACAUAAAAUAAAUAGUGUAAGCAAAAUAAUUUCAUAUUACGAGAUAUUUGAAUUUUUGUAAGACAAGGUUAGAAUAAUUUCGAAAUCCCCUAUUUUGACUUUGGAAAAUCAUUAAAAAUUGUAUAAAAAUAAUUAUUGGUUAUAUUUUAUAUUUUUAAAAUUACUAUUGAGUUUAUUUUCAAUAGAAACAAACAAGAAUAUCAUCUAAAUCUCAUACAAUGAGAUAAUUAAUUUUUAGUGAAAAAGGGUUGAAACUGUCAAACAGCAAAAUAGGGGAGACUUUAAAGAAUAAACUGUACUUAUUGGCUAGACCAAAAAUUCUGAAAAUUUUAUGGUAAGAAUAUAUGUGAGUCUAGUUUCAGGAAAAAUUAGCGGAUCUUAAUUUGAAGUUCUGUAGCUCAAGAUAUAAAUAAUUUAGUGACUGUGACUCGAGUAGAUAGCUUGAGGUGAACAAGAGUAAAUAGUGGAACUAUGUGCAAUUAUGAUUGUAUUAUCUUGAGAACAUAUUGUGAGUAUUGGUAAAAGUAUGUUAAUAAAUUUCUUAUUAUUUACAUACCAACUUACUAAACUAUAUAGCUUAAUCCGUUUAUUUUCUGUGUUUGUAAUGUCCUUAGGUUAGCUCGGGUUGGAAGUUGCCAGAGAACCUAUCACACUAUCAAACUAACAAAAUUGAUGAUUCUUAUACUUAAGGUCAUGGCAUGUAUAGGCGACUUCGUUAUUUUUGUAUGUGUCAUAAUUGUUUUGGCCGAAAAUGUUGGCCUAUGCUAUUUGAAAGUUCAUUGUUGUGUAAGGCCAUUUGAUGUUGGUAUAUUGGCUAUAUUAUAACUCCAUGAUAAUGCAUUUCAAGGAUGUGUAUGCAUACAUAUGUGGAUGAAUGAGUGGUGAUAUCUAUGUGUGACGUAAAUUUGUAUGCAACAACAAGUCAGAUUAGUGUACGGGCUAGGGACAUGGCCAUGCGAGCCACACGGCUAUGUCCU
rnacentral:lncRNA from 1 species